UCACAGUCCAAAUCCCGGGCCAUGACCGGCGCAUGGGCUCAAUGGGCAUAGCCCACUAGGCCCAAGCAAGCCUCUUUAUGAGAUCUUGUUCCUCAUUACAUCCAUAAUCUUUCAAACCAUGUGUUGUAAUUCUCAACGGUGAAUGUUUCAAUAAUAUUUUAUAGCAAUCGAAUAUUCAUAUUUGUAUUAUCUCAAAGUACUGUCAUUCAUUGCCAUCUCAUAAGGGCAUCAUCAUCAAUCCAACAUAUACAUACUUCAUUUAUAACAUGACUCCUAGUAGUUUACAUUACAUAUACGUGUACACAGACAAAAGACUCUCAACCGUUAGUGAAGUGACUUUAAGUGAAGGUACCGCUACUGAGAUGCCAUAGUACCUACCAAGAAGACGAGCAUGCGUGGACACUCAAUCUAGGUCUUAACUGCCUCAGAAUCUGAAAACAUGAAGUUUUAAAAACGUAAGUAUAAACUUAAUGAGUGAACAUAGGAAGGGAACAAGCAACGACAAGGAAUGUUUUAGAAAACAUAAUGCACUUACGAUAAACUAUGCAAUUUAGUCUAAUUUUUGGUUAAAACCCCUCAUUUCAAACUUUGAAUGUUUAAUCCCUUAAUGUUACAAGAUUCAUGAUGAACCAUAAAGUUGAAUAGAAUGAAAAUUUCAGCAAUGACCAAGCAAGACAAACAAAUAGAGCGUUUUUGCGCUGCAGCGAAAAGGUAUUCUUGGUUUGUAUAUGUUUCGGUUUUUCAAGCAUAUCUCCCACUACAAAAGUCCAAUUGACAUGAUUUUUAGACCAUUAGAAAGCUAAGAGGCUAGGAUACAACUUUGAUGUUUACUACUUUACCUAGUUCUAAUCGAAAAGUGGUCAAAAUCUUUGUUGAAGUGACAGUACUACACUAGAAUCUUGGAAUCACCCGAGAGUUUCUCACUACAACGAGAAUGCUCAGGAAAUUUCUCGUUGCAGCGAGAACCAGACUAGUGUAACCCCCCUCCAACCCGAGAGUUUCUUGCUACAGUAAAAAUGAAUCUCUCUGCAGUGAGAAACAGAGCAAUUUAGUUAAAAAGGGUCUUGUUAUAUCAAAAGCCAUUUUCUUGUUGAAAUGAAAAGCAAUUUGGGAGCAAUUAACAAUGCCAACAUACAACAUAAUCACAAUUAUUUUCAUAAACUUUCUAUAACAUAUAUAUAUUUGUAUAUACAUACAUCAUCAUGCAUACCAUCCCACCACACUCAGCUCAUGUGCACUUCCUACACGCAUAAGGCAAUAUCAUCAUCAUGUGCACUCCCUACUUGUAUAUUUCAAUAUCAUCAUCAUGUGCACUCCUUACUCGCACAUUUUAAUAUCAUCACACGCACUCCCGCCCACAUCAUUACCGGCAUGUGCUCUCCCACACCACACACACACUGUCAUAUUUAUUACACGAUAUUAUCUAUAAAGACACAACACAUAUGUUUGUAUACCAACGAACUAAAUGAGUACGUGGACUCAUCACAGUCACAUUUCACAAUGCAAAAUGUUUCAUUGAAAGCUUGUUCCCGUAUACAUUUAAAAAAAAAAAGACAAUUAAACCUUUCAAGUAAUACACUCAAACAUUUACACAUUUACCCCAAAGCAUUUUAAUGCAAGUUCACUCACCAGUAUUUGUUAAAUCUUUACCCAACUCCAACUUCCUCUAAUGGUGCAAAUGGGGUGAUAGGGCUUCGUUGGAACCUAUCAUCACAAUAGUAUCACAAUUCAACUCAAUUCACAUAACCAUAAUUCUAAAAGCUAUCUCCUAAAUCAUGUUCUACUAAUUAUCCCUAACUAACUUCCAAUUUCCUUUAAGCAGUUAUUUACUUUCACUAUUCUAACCACACUAAAGAUGAAUAAAUAUCCUCAACUACAAAACAUUCACAAAUCUAUCCACUAGCCAUUUCAACAACUUAAAGAUCAACUCUAAUUCACUACUCACCUUGGUAGCUUUGUAAUGAAAUUUUUUUCCAAAACUUUUCAAGCUAUUAUAGAAGCUCCCUCUUUCUCUCUCUAAAACACCUAGCUAGUGAGAGGAAGUAUGGAAGUAAGACUUUUUAAGGGGUUUAAAGUGAGAGAAUGAAAGAGCACAAAAGGUUCUAUGAAAAAGUGCACUAAAGCAUGAAAAUUAGAGUUAACUUGAGAGAAGUUAUGGAGGUUUCAAAACAAGCUUCCAUGGAGAAUGAAAGAAAUGUGAGAUGGGAUGAAGAAGAAGAAGAAGCUACUGGAAAAAUGAG
rnacentral:lncRNA from 1 species